UGGGGAAUAUUGGACAAUGGGCGCAAGCCUGAUCCAGCCAUGCCGCGUGAGUGAUGAAGGCCUUAGGGUUGUAAAGCUCUUUCGCCGGUGAAGAUAAUGACGGUAACCGGAGAAGAAGCCCCGGCUAACUUCGUGCCAGCAGCCGCGGUAAUACGAAGGGGGCUAGCGUUGCUCGGAAUCACCGGCGUAAAGCGCACGUAGGCGGAUCGUUAAGUCAGGGGUGAAAUCCUGGAGCUCAACUCCAGAACUGCCCUUGAUACUGGCGAUCUCGAGUUCGAGAGAGGUUGGUGGAACUCCGAGUGUAGAGGUGAAAUUCGUAGAUAUUCGGAAGAACACCAGUGGCGAAGGCGGCCAACUGGCUCGAUACUGACGCUGAGGUGCGAAAGCGUGGGGAGCAAAACAGGAUUAGAUACCCUGGUAGUCCACGCCGUAAAACGAUGGAUGCUAGCCGUUGGGGGGUUUACCUCUCAGUGGCGCAGCUAACGCCUUAAGCAUCCCGCCUGGGGAGUACGGUCGCAAGAUUAAAACUCAAAGGAAUUGACGGGGUCAUAGCUGUUUCCU
rnacentral:rRNA from 1 species